rnacentral:rRNA from 1 species
UUUAUGAGUGAUUUAUUUUUUAAAAAUGUUUAUUUAAUUUUAAUUAAAUUAUUAGGAUUUUAUUAUUUUUUUUGAAAAAAUUUUUUUAAUUAUAGUUUAGUUGUAUUGAGGAAGAUUUUUUGUUUUAAUUAAAAAGAAUAAUUGAUUUUUAGUACCUUGUGUAUCAGGGUUAAUUAAACAUAAUUUAAAAUUAAUUUUUCUCGAAUUAAAAAGGUCUAUUAAUAUAUAAAUUUUAAUGUUGAAUAAUUAUUUUUAAUAUAUUUAUAGUAAUGAAACGUUAUUCGUUUUUUAAUAUAUCUAGUUUUUUAAGAAAUUAAUUUAAUUAAUCUAAUAUUAAUAUAUAUAUUUAUUUUUAAUCUAUAUUAUUAUUAAGAAAGAGGCCAAGGGUUAAGCUUUGGUUUUUAAAAUUAAUAAUGUUUUUUAUUCAAAGGUUAAUAGAAUUAGAAUUUUUUAAUUAUAAAAGUUUUUUAUAAAUAAUCUUUGUAGGUUAAUAUUUAUUUAAUUUAUAAGUUUUUUAUUAAAAUGAAUUCUUUAAUUUUAAAGGAUUUGUAAUGAUGAUUAAAUUAGUAGAUAUUUAUUGUGAGAUUUAAGUUAAAGUUUUAUUAAUAAUAUAGGAAUUCGGCAAGUAUAAUUUUCACCUGUUUAAUAAAAACAUGUCCUCUUGAUUUUAAUUUGAGGUCUAACCUGCCCGCUGAUGAUUGAAUGGCCGCAGUAUUUUGACUGUGCUAAGGUAGCAUAAUCAUUAGUUUCUUAAUUAGAAGCUUGUAUGAAGGGUUGAAUGAGAAAUUGACUAUCUUUAUUAUUGUAGUUGAAUUUUACCUUUUAGUAAAAAGGCUAAAAUGGUUUUAUGGGACGAGAAGACCCUAUAGAGUUUUACAUAUUAAUAAUUAUUAUUUUUUGGAAUUUAUUAUUUAAUUAAAAGAUAUGUUUGAUUGGGGUGAUCAGAAAAUUAAUAUAACUUUUUUUUAUUAAAACAAUAAUUUUUGAUUAAAUGAUCCUUAUUAAAGAUUAAAAGACUAAAUUACCUUAGGGAUAACAGCGUAAUUUUUUUGGAGAGUUCAAAUCGAUAAAAGAGAUUGCGACCUCGAUGUUGGAUUAGAAUUAAUGUUUGGUGCAGGAGUCAAAUUAUUAGGUCUGUUCGACCUUUAAUAUUCUACAUGAUCUGAGUUUAAACCGGUGUGAGCCAGGUUGGUUUCUAUCUAUAAAGAAUUAAUUUAUUAUAGUACGAAAGGAUUUAAUAGAUGAUUAAAAAUUUUUUUUUUUAUUGAAUAGUAGU